CAGUUGCUACCAACCUCGCCAUUCAAUAGCAGCCCAAAACUCCAUUGUCAUCCGGCCGUGGCCUUCUCCUGCCCCAACGCGCCGCCGCUCCUCCGCCGUCCGCCGUCCGCCGUCUGCGCCCUCUCACCAGGCACCAGCCCGCUGCAUCUGCAAUGAGGAACAUUGUAAAACAAAUUCUGGUGUAGCAUGGUGGGGUCAAUGCCACAAGCUUCACCAUCAGAGCAACUUGUGCAAGGAAGGUGGAGGCUCCAUUUUUUUUUUGAACCAAUGGCAGGAGCUCUACCGCUCAAUUAAGACGAAGGAAUGAUUUUAUGUACAAGGAGGUUAGUCAAACGAGAUGCUAACAGAGCAUCCGAGUAGCUAACCACCCCACGCUACCCGGUUGAGCACUAACACGAUGCACUGCCAUUGGUCAUCAUUGCCGAGCAUGGAAGCAAAGCUACCAGCAGCUCCCACUUCCGAUGGCAGGCCACCUACGAGCCACCUACCGAGGAGGCUCAGCGCCCGUUGCGCCAAACCUGCACAGUGGGCGGUGCUACCGAACUCGUCGCCCUACCUACCGGCGUGGUGGCCCUCGUGCCUUCUCUGGGGCCGGUGAUCGACAGUUUUGGUCGCUUCUGCGCCGAUAUGCUGCUGUGCAAGUCCGCUGGCGCCGGAUCCGCCCUCCAUCGGGCUGAUUCUUCUCUCAGAUCAUGGCUGGGGGCCUACGACACCACCGCGGUCACCGGGUUACUCUCCAAUUCGGCAUGGCCAUCUUUUCCGUCGACCGUGGCAGCGGCAUCACCGUUACUUCUUGCUGGAAUGGUGGUGAUGCCGGGUAGGUGUUCCAGGCGAAAGCCCUUUUCGGCAUUGUGUAGGUAUCGAUAACGGCGGCGCUUUUGGGCGUCGUUUCCUUGAGGCGUUACCGUGGUGUCACCUACAACUGUCAGUGGAUCUCCGGGUGAAAACUCAAGUCCAGCUUGCUGGAUGUGGCGGCGAUGACAUCUUCGAUGUCGUUCUCUUCUUGAAGCGUCACCUUGGAGGUCAUUCGGUCCGACUUUGGUACUUCAGCGGCAUCAAAUAAUUCGGACAUCAAGUUUCUAAGUAAACGAGAGAUGUGGUGUUUGGUGCGGCAUAAAGACUUUACAAGGAUGAAACGGAGCGAAGAA